AGAACUUAGCAGAGAUGCUUUGGUGCCUUCGGGAACUCUGAGACAGGUGCUGCAUGGCUGUCGUCAGCUCGUGUUGUGAAAUGUUGGGUUAAGUCCCGCAACGAGCGCAACCCUUAUCCUUUGUUGCCAGCGGUCCGGCCGGGAACUCAAAGGAGACUGCCAGUGAUAAACUGGAGGAAGGUGGGGAUGACGUCAAGUCAUCAUGGCCCUUACGAGUAGGGCUACACACGUGCUACAAUGGCGCAUACAAAGAGAAGCGACCUCGCGAGAGCAAGCGGACCUCAUAAAGUGCGUCGUAGUCCGGAUUGGAGUCUGCAACUCGACUCCAUGAAGUCGGAAUCGCUAGUAAUCGUGGAUCAGAAUGCCACGGUGAAUACGUUCCCGGGCCUUGUACACACCGCCCGUCACACCAUGGGAGUGGGUUGACAAAAGAAGUAGGUAGCUUAACCUUCGGGAGGGCGCUUACCACUUUGUGAUUCAUGACUGGGGUGAAGUCGUAACAAGGUAGGCGUAGUGCU
rnacentral:rRNA from 1 species